rnacentral:rRNA from 1 species
GAUCCUGGCUCAGGAUGAACGCUAGCUACAGGCUUAACACAUGCAAGUCGAGGGGAAACGAUAGAGAAAGCUUGCUUUUUCUAGGCGUCGACCGGCGCACGGGUGAGUAACGCGUAUCCAACCUGCCCACCACUUGGGGAUAACCUUGCGAAAGUAAGACUAAUACCCAAUGAUGUCUCUAGAAGGCAUCUGAAAGGGAUUAAAGAUUUAUCGGUGAUGGAUGGGGAUGCGUCUGAUUAGCUUGUUGGCGGGGUAACGGCCCACCAAGGCAACGAUCAGUAGGGGUUCUGAGAGGAAGGUCCCCCACAUUGGAACUGAGACACGGUCCAAACUCCUACGGGAGGCAGCAGUGAGGAAUAUUGGUCAAUGGGCGAGAGCCUGAACCAGCCAAGUAGCGUGCAGGAUGACGGCCCUAUGGGUUGUAAACUGCUUUUAUAAGGGAAUAAAGUGAGCCUCGUGAGGCUUUUUGCAUGUACCUUAUGAAUAAGGACCGGCUAAUUCCGUG